UACGUAGGGAGCAAGCGUUGUUCGGAUUUACUGGGCGUAAAGGGCGCGUAGGCGGCCUGUCAAGUCAACUGUGAAAUCUCCGGGCUUAACUCGGAACGGUCAGUUGAUACUGUCAGGCUAGAGUGCAGAAGGGGCAAUCGGAAUUCUUGGUGUAGCGGUGAAAUGCGUAGAUAUCAAGAGGAACACCUGAGGUGAAGACGGGUUGCUGGGCUGACACUGACGCUGAGGCGCGAAAGCGUGGGGAGCGAACAGG
rnacentral:rRNA from 1 species